AUUGAACGCUGGCGGCAUGCCUUACACAUGCAAGUCGAACGGCAGCACGGACUUCGGUCUGGUGGCGAGUGGCGAACGGGUGAGUAAAGUAUCGGAACGUACCUUUCAGUGGGGGAUAACGUAGCGAAAGUUACGCUAAUACCGCAUAUUCUGUGAGCAGGAAAGCAGGGGAUCGCAAGACCUUGCGCUGAUUGAGCGGCCGAUAUCAGAUUAGCUAGUUGGUGGGGUAAAGGCCUACCAAGGCGACGAUCUGUAGCGGGUCUGAGAGGAUGAUCCGCCACACUGGAACUGAGACACGGUCCAGACUCCUACGGGAGGCAGCAGUGGGGAAUUUUGGACAAUGGGGGCAACCCUGAUCCAGCCAUGCCGCGUGAGUGAAGAAGGCCUUCGGGUUGUAAAGCUCUUUCGGCCGGGAAGAAAUCGCAUGGGCUAAUACCCUGUGUGGAUGACGGUACCGGAAUAAGAAGCACCGGCUAACUACGUGCCAGCCGCCGCAGUAACAC
rnacentral:rRNA from 1 species